ACUAAGUGUGGAUAGUUCAGUGGGUUUAGACCUUGCUCAACCCGUGGGGUUCACAGGUUCGAUUCCCCUGCAGGGUUGACUCAGCCCUUCAUCCCUUUGAAGUAGAUGACUGGAGUACCAUUCAAUGGAGUCACUUAACAUUCCCAGGAUGCAUUUGGGAACCAGUAUUUAUCUUAAUGUCAAUCACUAGUUGCCUGAUCUAGUUAAAGAGGGCACCGCUUGCUCUUUUUCAAAUCUGCCCAAUCCAUAAUGUUCCGAACAUCUGAUACUCUAUAUUUAAAGAAACGGUGUUCAAGGAGUUUGAGAUAUGGUUCUGUGGACCACAAAGUUCAUUGGGUUCCCCAGGAAUCUCCUGGUUUUCAAACUCUGAUCAUUCCUUUAAGCCCUUAAGGACCAAACUUCUGGAAUAAAAAGGAAUCAUGACAUGUCAUACAUGUCAUGUGUCCUUAAAGGGUUAAACCUGUUGAAUUUAAAUUAAUUGGUUCCUCUCCUAAGGUUCAGAAUUGAAACUUCUGCCUCUGUAACUCUGAUUUUGCAGAAAGGAAUUUCAUGGUGUAAAUAGAUCAGAGAUAUAUUCCCACAUUAUCCCUACUGCGGCCCCUCAAGAAUUUUUCCAGAAUACGUGGAUUAUAGAGAUUUAAUUGCUCUUCAAAAUUCACGUUGAAUAGUUGGUCUAUCUAUCUAAGGGUAUUUCUCUGGGCUUACUUUUUUUUUUUUUCUCCAAUAUCCUGUUCCCAAGACUUCUUCAAAGAGGUAACGGACAGAGCAGGGGUUCUGACAAUCUGUCUGUACUAGCCAAACACAAGUCCGUUUUUGGCAUUGGUGGAGAUGACUUUCAAGUUUGGGUAUCUUCCGAUCUCAAACACUUUUGGAAGACAGGAUAUCCUACUGGAGGUGUUGAAUAUGUUCUCAUUGAUGGUAGGGCACUGCAUGGUGGAUCCUUCAUCUCCUGAGUCUUCAUGAGUCAGAGUCCACUGUUGCGUAUAAUCUUCUACGCAACAUGAGGUUUUGCGUAGAGUGUCUACAUUGUUGUAAGGAACGUCUUUGUCUUCUAGUUCAUUUGUCCGGUUGGUUCAAAUUUACACCAACUGCAGGAGAUUUCCACAGGUUGAGUGUUUCCACAUUAAGACCAAAUUGUAUUCCCUAAGUUCUUUCUGAGAAGGGAUUGGUCUUUGUGUAUACUGGUUAGAAGUUUAUUUAAAGCAAUAAGUUUCUUGGGCCACCCAGGAAGUUCUGUUUCCCUCCUGGGAUCUCCUUUCAGGUCCCCCUUUACUUUGCAGGUGCCUCUUUUUUAAUCUGCUGAAGCUUAACCGGCAUUCUUAGUGGCCAUUAGCUCUGCCAAGAGAGUAAGCGAGCUUCAGGAUAUAAAUCAUCUUCAGUGGAAUUUCUUAUAUUCCAUCAAGGUGAAAGUUGUUUCAUCUAAAAACUUCAAUUCUUCCAGAGUUUUCUUUUAGAGCUGUUAAUCAGCUCAUCCUUCUAUAAUUAUGCCACCGCCCCGCUGGAACUAGAUGGCAUAUUCUAGAGUUAAAAUAAACAGCAUUUCAGAUGUACCUAUCAAUAUCAGCCGAAUUCAGAAGAUCAGAUCACCUGUUGUCAACUUCUAGGAAAGUUUUAAGGGGAAUGAAGCCCUUUCUUAAUUCUAUUUCUCGUUAUUUCGUCAAUCAUAUGGGCUAUGCUUCAGUAGUUUUGAUUUGCCAGCGUCUUUCACAGCGCAUUCCACAAAAGCAAUGGCCACUUCAUGGGCAGAAAAAAGCUAUUGCUUCAGCCGAAGAAAUCAGCAUGGCUGCUUCUUGGUUAGCUUUUAGCACCUUACAAAACGUCAGGCAUUAUCAGGCUGGUUGUACUCUCUGUCUCUAAAAUUGCAUUAGGGGGUAGGUACUUCAAGCUGUUUAGGCAUAAAGCCCACCCGAUUGGGAACCUUGCUAUAUCCCAUACGUACUGCCACCAUAUGUCAGAAAAAACUGAAAUUUUUACACACCUUAACAUUAUUUUUUACUAAUAUGGUGGCAGUACAAAUCUCCCUCAAUUUAAAUUACAAUUUUGCUUACACAGUGGCGUACACAUGACCCAUGGGGCCCCGGUGCGAAAAUUGAUCCGUGGGCCCACUUACUCGGCGCGGGUUGGGGCUGUAACACAUGGCGGCGGGCACCUGGUUGCAGGGCUGCGACCGCGGUAUGCACACACACUUAAAGGACCACUACAGACACCCAGAUCACAUCAGCUCAAUGAAGUGGUCUGGGUGCCAGGUCCCUCUAGUAUUAACCCUGCAGCUGAAAACCUAGCAGGUUCAGAGAAACGGCUGUUUCACUGAGGGUUAAUCCAGCCUCUGGUGGCUGUCUCAUUGACAGCCGCUAGAGGAGCUUCCGCGAUUCUCACUGUGAAAAUCACAGUGAGAAGACACUGAACGUCCAUAGGAAAGCAUUGAGUAAUGCUUUCCUAUGGGCGGUUUAAAUGCGCGCGCCUCUUGCCGCGCAUGUGCAUUCGUAGCUGAGAGGCGGAGGUAUCCCCAGCGCCAAGGGAGUCCGACGCUGGAGAAAGGUAAAUGCUGAAGACACACACUCUCACGAACAGACGCAUACACACUAGCUAACACACACACGCUCAGUGACAGACAUACAUACACUUUCACUGACAAACACACACUCAGUAACAUACUCACUAGCAGACACACAC